AUGGCGGCAUCUAUGGCGGCGGCGGCCUCUGCCACCUCCGGCAACGCGGGCUCCGGUGAGGUCUCAGCCGGCGGCGAGAAUCGCGCGGCCGCUUCCUCGGCCGCGGCCUCAGCCUCGUCGCCCGCGGCGGGCGGCGGCGAGGCGCUGGAGCUGCUGGAACGCUGCGGGGCGUGCCGGGAGCGCCUGCGUCCGGAGCGCGAGCCGCGCCUGCUGCCUUGCCUGCACUCGGCCUGCAGCGGCUGCCUCGCGUCCGCCGCGGCCAACAGCUCGGGGGACGGCGGCGCGGCCGGCGACGGCGCGGUGGUGGACUGCCCUGUGUGCAAGCAGCAGUGCUGCUUCAAAGACAUCGUGGAGAACUACUUCGUCCGCGACAGUGGCAACAAGGCUGCCUCAGACGCCCAGGAGGCGAACCAGUGCUGCACUAGUUGCGAAGAUAACGCCCCAGCCACCAGCUACUGCGUCGAGUGCUCCGAGCCACUGUGCGAGACCUGCGUGGACGCUCAUCAGCGGGUGAAGUACACCAAGGACCACACAGUGCGCCCCACCGGGCCGGCCAAGUCCCGGGAUGGGGAGCGCACGGUCUACUGCAACGUGCACAAGCGGGAGCCUCUCGUGCUGUUCUGCGAGAGCUGCGACACCCUUACCUGUCGGGACUGCCAGCUCAGCGCCCACAAGGACCACCAGUACCAGUUCCUGGAAGAUGCCGUGAGGAACCAGCGAAAGCUCCUGGCCGCACUGGUGAAACGCCUUGGGGACAAACAUGCCACACUGCAGAAGAGCACCAAGGAGGUGCGAAGCUCCAUCCGCCAGGUGUCCGAUGUGCAGAAACGGGUGCAGGUGGAUGUCAAGAUGGCCAUCUUGCAGAUCAUGAAGGAACUGAACAAGCGGGGCCGCGUGCUGGUCAGUGAUGCCCAGAAGUUGACAGAGGGCCAGCAAGAACGCCUGGAACGGCAGCACUGGUCCAUGACCAAGAUCCAGAAGCAUCAGGAGCACAUCUUGCGCUUUGCCUCCUGGGCGCUGGAGAGUGACAACAACACGGCCCUGCUGCUGUCUAAGAAGCUCAUCUACUUCCAGCUGCAGCGAGCCCUGAAGAUGAUCGUAGAGCCCGUGGAGCCCCACGGGGAGAUGAAGUUCCAGUGGGACCUCAGUGCCUGGACCAAGAGUGCUGAGGCCUUCGGCAAGAUUGUGGCUGAGCGGCCUGGUACCAACUCCACUGGCCCUGCACUCAUGGCCCCCCCAAGAGCCUUGGGACCCCUGAGCAAGCAGAGCUGUAGCAGCAGCCAGCCCAUGGAGGUCCAGGAAGGCUAUGGUUUCGAGUCAGAUGACCCCUACUCCAGUGCAGAGCCCCAUGUGUCUGGCAUGAAGCGUUCCUCCUCUGGUGAGGGUGAGGUGAGUGGCCGCAUGCGCAAGGUGCCACGGGUGAGCCUUGAACGCCUGGACCUGGACCUUACAGCCGACAGCCAGCCACCAGUCUUCAAGGUCUUUCCAGGCAGCACCACCGAGGACUACAACCUCAUUGUGAUUGAGCGUGGUGCUGCUGCCGCGGCUGCUGGUCAGCCAGGGACUGCACUCCCAGGAGCACCCGGUGCUCCACCUCUUGCCAGCAUGGCCGUUGUUAAGGAGGAGGAGACGGAGGCAGCCAUUGAAGCCCCUCCUGCAGCUGCUGUAGAGGGCCCUGAGACCAAACCUGUGCUCAUGGCUCUGGCUGAGGGCCCUGCCACUGAGGGCCCCCGCCUGGCCUCACCUAGUGGCAGCACUAGCUCAGGCCUGGAGGUGGUGGCUCCUGAGGGUUCCUCAGCGCCAGUUGGUGACCCAGGCACCUUGGAUGACAGUGCCACCAUUUGCCGUGUCUGCCAAAAGCCAGGUGACCUGGUCAUGUGCAACCAGUGCGAGUUUUGCUUCCACCUGGACUGCCACCUGCCUGCUCUGCAGGAUGUGCCAGGGGAAGAGUGGAGCUGCUCACUCUGCCAAGUGCCCCCUGACCUGAAGGAGGAGGAUGGCACUCUUAGCAUGGAUGGCACAGACAGUGCCGGCAUGGUGGUCAAGCUCUCGCCAGUCAACCAGCAGAAAUGUGAACGUGUCCUGCUGGCCCUCUUCUGCCAUGAACCCUGCCGCCCCCUGCACCAGCUGGCUACCGACGCUCCCCUCUCCAUGGAGCAGCCAGGGGGUACCCUGGACCUGACGCUGAUCCGCGCCCGCCUCCAAGAAAAGCUGUCACCCCCUUACCGCUCCCCCCAGGAGUUUGCUGAGGAUGUAGGCCGCAUGUUCAAGCAGUUUAACAAACUGACCGAGGACAAGGCGGAUGUGCAGUCUAUCAUCGGUCUGCAGCGCUUCUUCGAGUCCCGCAUGAAUGAGGCCUUCGGUGACACCAAGUUCUCCGCUGUGCUGGUGGAGCCGCCACCACUGAGUCUGCCCAGCGCUGGUCCAAGUUCCCAGGAGCUGUCUGGUGGUCCUGGUGAUGGUCCCUGAGGCUGGGGCUCUUAUGGCCACCCUGGCCUGGCUCUGCUCUGUAUCCUGUCACCCUGUCCCUAACUCCCUGGUAGCCUGACUCCCACUCCCUGGUUGCCCUAUCCCAUAUUCCCUCACGAAAUGGUUUUUACUUCUGUGGAUUUAAUAAAAAUCUCACCAGUU